UACGUAGGGUGCAGGCGUUGUCCGGAAUUAUUGGGCGUAAAGAGCUCGUAGGCGGUUUGUCGCGUCUGCUGUGAAAACUCGGGGCUUAACCCCGGGCCUGCAGUGGGUACGGGCAGACUAGAGUGCGGUAGGGGAGACUGGAAUUCCUGGUGUAGCGGUGAAAUGCGCAGAUAUCAGGAGGAACACCGGUGGCGAAGGCGGGUCUCUGGGCAACAACUGACGCUGAGGAGCGAAAGCGUGGGGAGCGAACAGG
rnacentral:rRNA from 1 species